AGAGUUUGAUCAUGGCUCAGAACGAACGCUGGCGGCAUGCCUAACACAUGCAAGUCGAACGCAAGGCUUCGGCCUUGAGUGGCGCACGGGUGAGUAGCGCGUGGGAACCUGCCCUUCAGUGGGGGAUAACCGAGGGAAACUUCGGCUAAUACCGCAUGCGCCCGGAGCAAUCCGGGGAAAGAUUUAUCGCUGAUGGAGGGGCCCGCGUCGGAUUAGCUAGUUGGUAGGGUAACGGCCUACCAAGGCUUUGAUCCGUAGCUGGUCUGAGAGGAUGAUCAGCCACACUGGGACUGAGACACGGCCCAGACUCCUAUGGGAGGCAGCAGUGGGGAAUAUUGGACAAUGGGCGAAAGCCUGAUCCAGCAAUGCCGCGUGAGUGAGGAAGGCCUUAGGGUUGUAAAGCUCUUUCGGCGGGGACGAUGAUGACGGUACCCGCAGAAGAAGCCCCGGCUAACUUCGUGCCAGCAGCCGCGGUGAUACGAAGGGGGCGAGCGUUGUUCGGAUUUACUGGGCGUAAAGGGCGCGCAGGCGGUCAUUUUUGUCGAGUGUGAAAGCCCCGGGCUUAACCUGGGAACUGCGCUCGAAACGGGAUGACUAGAGAUCGGGAGAGGAGAGUGGAAUUCCCAGUGUAGAGGUGAAAUUCGUAGAUAUUGGGAAGAACACCGGUGGCGAAGGCGGCUCUCUGGACCGAUACUGACGCUGAGGCGCGAAAGCGUGGGGAGCAAACAGGAUUAGAUACCCUAGUAGUCC
rnacentral:rRNA from 1 species